UACGAAGGGGGCUAGCGUUGCUCGGGAUCACUGGGCGUAAAGGGUGCGUAGGCGGGUCUUUAAGUCAGUUGUGAAAUCUCCGGGCUUAACUCGGAAAGGUCAACUGAUACUGCGCGGCUAGAGUGCAGAAGGGGCAACUGGAAUUCUCGGUGUAGCGGUGAAAUGCGUAGAUAUCGAGAGGAACACCUGCGGCGAAGGCGGGUUGCUGGGCUGACACUGACGCUGAUGCGCGAAAGCCAGGGGAGCGAACGGG
rnacentral:rRNA from 1 species